GUGCCAGCCGCCGCGGUAAUACGAAGGGGGCUAGCGUUGUUCGGAAUUACUGGGCGUAAAGCGCGCGCAGGCGGUCUUCCAAGUCAGUGGUGAAAGCCCGGAGCUCAACUCCGGAACUGCCAUUGAAACUGUUAGACUUGAGGAUGAGAGAGGUGAGUGGAAUUCCCAGUGUAGAGGUGAAAUUCGUAGAUAUUGGGAAGAACACCGGUGGCGAAGGCGGCUCACUGGCUCAUUACUGACGCUCAGGCGCGAUAGCGUGGGGAUCAAACAGGAUUAGAUACCCUUGUAGUCC
rnacentral:rRNA from 1 species